AUCCCUGUAGCGCAAUGAAUAGCGCGUUGGACUUCUAAUCCGAAGGUUGUAGGUUCUAAUCCAACCUGGGAUG